AUUAACAACAGGUUAUAGAUAUUUGUUGUUUUAUAUUGAUCCCGAAAAUUAAACACAAAAUGUGAUAUGAUUUUUAAUGCAGCAUAUUUUUAUUGUUGAAGUACAUGAUUACAAUAUUUAUGACAGAAUUUGGAAAUGAAAUUGUUUGAUUCUCUUUAUAUUGAUUUGUAGAUAAUUGUAUUAUUAAAGUACAAACAAAAUGGAAAGCAACUAAAUAAUGUUUUAAUUUCCCUUCUCGUCUUAUUUUUGUUUAAAAUUAGUUCACAUAUUUUAAAUCCCAAAGAAAGUUGUUGGUUUCAUGUAUGAAUCAAAAGGCCCAUAUAAAAACUAGAACAUACAUGUAUAUUAUACAAGCUGUUUUUUAAAUUUAGUCAGUGUUUAUAUUUGUUUAUUAAUACUGUUACUUUUAACGCACAAUGAACUUCGUGACAAGUUAUUUAACUUAUCAGAUUUUGAAGGCAUGGCUUUAGAGUUGAAUUUGUAUGGUCAAUAAAAAAAACAUUGGAAAGUUUAUGACCCUGAUAAAAUGGAGGCAAAAACUUCACGUUUUUUUUUUUUUGGGGGGGGGAGUGUAGAGAGAUUGAUGAAGGCUAUAUUUGGUCAACCAGAUUCUGAUUAAGAUGAAAAUAAAUGGGAAUUUAAAUGCAAAAAAGUAGCAAUGCAAGCAAAUCUUGUUCCUAUUACUGCACAUAAAAACACAAUAAGCAGAUACCAACUGUGUUUUUGAAUACAAUUUUUAGGAAAAUUUAAUACAAAUGCUAAAGUGCCCAUUACAUUGUCUCUGAUUUACGCCUAUAUUAAUAACAAAUCUGCAAAUUCCCAGGCCCCCCCUUUCGUGGGAAAAAUUUGGUUGAUUAUAUAGGGAAUCACUGAAGCAUGACUGGAGCGGCCCCCCCCCCCCUUAGGCAAAGUUCUGGAUCCGCCACUGAAAUUCCAGUCGUUAUUGAUGUGUGUAAUGUAUUUUGGACAAGAUAUGCUAAGAUGUGCUAAAGAGGGUAAAAAACUUUCAACUUUCUCUUUCAAAUGAAGCUUCUUAUCUUAUUAGUGCUUACAUUGUUGAUUUUGAUAAGAAUUCAAGUUCAAUACAGCAUUACAAAGUUAUUAUUAGAUUUGACUUGUUAUCAGUUUUAUGGAAUAUUUGUUGGAAUCUGAGUAUUAAAAUCUAUAUUUUAUAUGAGGUUGUUGAUAAGUGGAUUUUGAAUGGCAGAGAUGAAACCAAAACUAUUGAAGUCAAGAACUCCUUUCAUGUUGUGUAUUUAGGCACUUAAAUGAUGUGGCAAAACAAUCACAGUACCUUACAAUAUUUUAAAAUUUAUAUUUCAAGUUGUUUGUAUGGUUGGGUUUUUUCUAUUUUUACAUGGGAUUGUGUAUAAAUUCAGUAUCAAAAAGGAGGAAACUUAAAUUUACUGUAAAAAAAAUAACUGUUUGAUUCGGCGGGAACCGAUUAGAAUAUUUAAUUGUAUUUUGACCAUAUUAUAUAUUUUAGUUGGUUCAAGAACUACAGGAAUCAUUGCAAUACAUGUACUUAAAUUUAUAGAAUUUCUAUGCAUUUGUUUAAAUUUCAUCCAAAUGCAUAUCUAAUAAAAAUAAGCAUAAUCAUUGUACAAAAUGGGACAUUCGGACAUUUGAUUGAAUCUCCAACAACUUGUUAUCUUAUAGUGUGAUAGAAUAGGAAUUAUUGUGUGUGUAAUUUUGUAUAAAUUGUUAAUUAUUGUAGACAUUCCAAUAUGGUUAUUGACAAUUCAUUUACAAAUGAAAUAAAGAAUAAGAAGUC
rnacentral:lncRNA from 1 species